AUGCAAGUCGGACGGAAAGGCCCCCUUCGGGGGGUACUCGAGUGGCGCACGGGUGAGUAACGCGUGGGUAAGCUGCCUUCGGGUCUGGGACAACCCCGGGAAACUGGGGCUAAUACCGGAUAAGACCACGAGCUCUUUGGAGCUUGCGGAAAAAGAUGGCCUCUCCUUGGAAGCUAUCGCCUGUCGAUGAGCCCGCGUCCCAUUAGCUUGUUGGUGAGGUAACGGCUCACCAAGGCAUCGAUGGGUAGCUGGUCUGAGAGGAUGAUCAGCCACACUGGAACUGAGACACGGUCCAGACUCCUACGGGAGGCAGCAGUCAGGAAUUUUGGGCAAUGGGCGAAAGCCUGACCCAGCAACGCCGUGUGAGGGAUGAAGGCCCUCGGGUCGUAAACCUCUGUCGGGAGGGAAGAACGGUAGCCUUUCAAAUAGGUGGGCUGCCUGACGGUACCUCCAAAGGAAGCACCGGCUAACUCCGUGCCAGCAGCCGCGGUAAU
rnacentral:rRNA from 1 species